rnacentral:rRNA from 1 species
GUGAGGAAUUUUCCGCAAUGGGCGAAAGCCUGACGGAGCAAUGCCGCGUGAAGGAUGAAGGCCUAUGGGUUGUAAACUUCUUUUCUCAGAAAAGAAUUAUGACGGUAUCUGAGGAAUAAGCAUCGGCUAACUCUGUGCCAGCAGCCGCGGUAAGACAGAGGAUGCAAGCGUUAUCCGGAAUGAUUGGGCGUAAAGCGUCUGUAGGUUGUUUAAAAAGUAUUCUGUCAAAGAUUAGGGCUUAACCCUAGAUAGGCAGAAUAAACUUUUAAGCUAGAGUUUGGUAGAGGCAGAGGGAAUUCGCGGUGGAGCGGUGAAAUGCGUAGAUAUCGGGAGGAACACCAAAGGCGAAGGCACUCUGCUGGGCCAAUACUAACACUGAGAGACGAAAGCGAGGGGAGCAAAUGGGAUUAGAAACCCGGGUAGUCC